UACGGGGGGGCAAGCGUUGUUCGGAAUUCCUGGGCGUAAAGGGCUCGUAGGCGGCCAACUAAGUCAGACGUGAAAUCCCUCGGCUUAACCGGGGAACUGCGUCUGAUACUGGAUGGCUUGAGGUUGGGAGAGGGAUGCGGAAUUCCAGGUGUAGCGGUGAAAUGCGUAGAUAUCUGGAGGAACACCGGUGGCGAAGGCGGCAUCCUGGACCAAUUCUGACGCUGAGGAGCGAAAGCCAGGGGAGCAAACGGG
rnacentral:rRNA from 1 species